rnacentral:rRNA from 1 species
AAGUGGUAGGAGAGCGUUGUAUUUAGCGUCGAAGGUAUACCGGUAAGGAGUGCUGGAGCAAAUACAAGUGAGCAUGCAGGCAUGAGUAGCGAUAAAAGGGGUGAGAAUCCCCUUCGCCGUAAACCCAAGGUUUCCUACGCGAUGCUCGUCAUCGUAGGGUUAGUCGGGUCCUAAGCAAAGUCCGAAAGGGGUAUGCGAUGGAAAAUCGGUUAAUAUUCCGAUACCAAUAUUAGUGUGCGAUGGAAGGACGCUUAAAGUUAGUGGAGCUAGCGGAUGGAAGUGCUAGUCUAAGGAUGUAGAUUAAGUGGUAGGCAAAUCCGCCACUUUUUAUUCGAGAUCUUAAAGGCUCUCUAAAGUCUUCGGAUAGCGGGGAGAAUCCAUGAUACUAUCGAGCCAAGAAAAGUUUCUAAGUUUAGCUAAUAUUGCCCGUACCGUAAACCGACACAGGUGGGUGGGAUGAGUAUUCUAAGGCGCGUGGAAGAACUCUCUUUAAGGAACUCUGCAAAAUAGCACCGUAUCUUCGGUAUAAGGUGUGCCUAACUUUGUUAGUGGAUUUACUCUACAAAGCAUUGAAGGUUACAACAAAGAGUCCCUCCCGACUGUUUACCAUAAACACAGCACUCUGCUAACUCGUAAGAGGAUGUAUAGGGUGUGACGCCUGCCCGGUGCUCGAAGGUUAAUUGAUGGGGUUAGCAUUAGCGAAGCUCUUGAUCGAAGCCCGAGUAAACGGCGGCCGUAACUAUAACGGUCCUAAGGUAGCGAAAUUCCUUGUCGGUUAAAUACCGACCUGCAUGAAUGGCGUAACGAGAUGGGAGCUGUCUCAAAGAGGGAUCCAGUGAAAUUGUAGUGGAGGUGAAAAUUCCUCCUUCCCGCGGCAAGACGGAAAGACCCCGUGGACCUUUACUAUAGCUUGACACUGCUAUUUGGAUAAAGAUGUGCAGGAUAGGUGGGAGGCUUUGAAGCUAGGACGCCAGUUCUAGCAGAGCCAUUGUUGAGAUACCACUCUUCUUUAUUUGGGUAGCUAACUAGCUUGAGUUAUCCUCAAGUAGGACAAUGUCUGGUGGGUAGUUUGACUGGGGCGGUCGCCUCCCAAAAUGUAACGGAGGCUUACAAAGGUUGGCUCAAAAUGGUUGGAAAUCAUUUGUAGAGUAUAAAGGCAUAAGCCAGCUUAACUGCGAGUCAUACAAGACGAGCAGAGACGAAAGUCGGUCUUAGUGAUCCGGUGGUUCUGUGUGGAAGGGCCAUCGCUCAAAGGAUAAAAGGUACCCCGGGGAUAACAGGCUGAUCUCCCCCAAGAGCUCACAUCGACGGGGAGGUUUGGCACCUCGAUGUCGGCUCAUCGCAUCCUGGGGCUGGAGCAGGUCCCAAGGGUAUGGCUGUUCGCCAUUUAAAGCGGUACGCGAGCUGGGUUCAGAACGUCGUGAGACAGUUCGGUCCCUAUCUGCCGUGGGCGUAAGAAGAUUGAGGAGAGUUGACUCUAGUACGAGAGGACCGAGUCGAACUGGCCACUGGUGUAUCAGUUGUUCUGCCAAGAGCAUCGCUGAGUAGCUAAGCCGGGAUGUGAUAAGAGCUGAAAGCAUCUAAGCUCGAAGCCAACUCCAAGAUGAAUCUUCUUUUAAGAGCUCUAGUAGACUACUAGUUUGAUAGGCUGGGUGUGUAAGUGAUGAGAGUCAUUUAGCUGACCAGUACUAAUAGCUCGUUUGCUUAUCUUA